CACUGUCACUCCUACGGGGAUGCAGCAGUGGGGGAAUAUUGCACAAUGGGCGCAAGCCUGAUGCAGCCAUGCCGCGUGUGUGAAGAAGGACCUUCGGGUUGUAAAGCACUUUCAGUCGUGAGGAAGGUAGUGUAGUUAAUAGCUGCAUUAUUUGACGUUAGCGACAGAAGAAAGCACCGGCUAACUCCGUGCCAGCAGCCGCGGUAAUACGGAGGGUGCGAGCGUUAAUCGGAAUUACUGGGCGUAAAGCGCAUGCAGGUGGUUUGUUAAGUCAGAUGUGAAAGCCCGGGGCUCAACCUCGGAAUAGCAUUUGUAAACUGGCAGACUAGAGUACUGUAGAGGGGGGUAGGAAUUUCAGGUGUAGCGGUGAAAAUGCGUAGAGAUCUGAAGGAAUACCGGUGGCGAAGGCGGCCCCCUGGACAGAUACUGACACUCAGAUGCGAAAGCGUGGGGAGCAAACAGGAUUAGAUACCCUGGUAG
rnacentral:rRNA from 1 species